rnacentral:rRNA from 1 species
GAUGAACGCUAGCGGCAGGCUUAACACAUGCAAGUCGAGGGGUAUAGGUUUUCGGAUCUAGAGACCGGCGCACGGGUGCGUAACGCGUAUGCAAUCUACCUUUUACAGAGGGAUAGCCCAGAGAAAUUUGGAUUAAUACCUCAUAGUAUUAUUGAAUGGCAUCAUUUAAUAAUUAAAGUUCCAACGGUAAAAGAUGAGCAUGCGUCCCAUUAGCUAGAUGGUAAGGUAACGGCUUACCAUGGCGACGAUGGGUAGGGGUCCUGAGAGGGAGAUCCCCCACACUGGUACUGAGACACGGACCAGACUCCUACGGGAGGCAGCAGUGAGGAAUAUUGGUCAAUGGACGCAAGUCUGAACCAGCCAUGCCGCGUGCAGGAUGACGGUCCUAUGGAUUGUAAACUGCUUUUGUACAGGAAGAAACACUGGUUCGUGAACCAGCUUGACGGUACUGUAAGAAUAAGGAUCGGCUAACUCCGUGCCAGCAGCCGCGGUAAAAC